GCUUGCACCUGGUGGCGAGUGGCGAACGGGUGAGUAAUAUAUCGGAACGUACCUUAUUGUGGGGGAUAACGCAGCGAAAGCUGUGCUAAUACCGCAUAAUCCCUAAGGGGGAAAGCGGGGGACCGUAAGGCCUCGCGCAAUUAGAGCGGCCGAUACCUGAUUAGCUAGUUGGUGAGGUAAAGGCUCACCAAGGCAACGAUCAGUAGCUGGUCUGAGAGGACGAUCAGCCACACUGGGACUGAGACACGGCCCAGACUCCUACGGGAGGCAGCAGUGGGGAAUUUUGGACAAUGGGGGCAACCCUGAUCCUGCAAUGCCGCGUGAGUGAAGAAGGCCUUCGGGUUGUAAAGCUCUUUUGUCAGGGAAGAAACAGCAGCUCUAACACAGUUUGCGAAUGACGGUACCUGAAGAAUAAGCACCGGCUAACUACGUGCCAGCAGCCGCGGUAAUACGUAGGGUGCAAGCGUUAAUCGGAAUUACUGGGCGUAAAGCGUGCGCAGGCGGUUAUGUAAGACAGGCGUGAAAUCCCCGGGCUUAACCUGGGAAUUGCGCUUGUGACUGCAUAGCUAGAGUAUGUCAGAGGGGGGUAGAAUUCCACGUGUAGCAGUAAAAUGCGUAGAGAUGUGGAGGAAUACCAAUGGCGAAGGCAGCCCCCUGGGAUAAUACUGACGCUCAUGCACGAAAGCGUGGGGAGCAAACA
rnacentral:rRNA from 1 species